rnacentral:rRNA from 1 species
UUUUAUUUAUAAAUUAAAUAAUUAAGUUGGAUAUUAAAAACAUUAGUUCUAAAUCCAAAAAAUUUGGCGGUACUUUAAUAAAUCAGGGGAACUUGCAAAUUAAUUCGAUAAUCCACGAAAUCCUUACCUUUAAUAAAAACUCAGUUAGUGUACUGCCGUAUUUAUGUAAAUUUAUGAUUAUACAUAACAAAAAUAUAUUAUUUUAUACAACAGGUCAAAGUGCAGCUUAUAUAAAGGCUUAUUGUGUGUUACAAUAUUAAAAAAUAUAUGUUAUAUAUAAGUAGUAUGUUUAUUAAAUUGGACUUGAUAGUAAUUAUAAUUAAUAAUGAAAUAAAUCUUAAAGUGUGU